GAUGAAGAACGUAGCGAAAUGCGAUAAGUAAUGUGAAUUGCAGAAUUCAGUGAAUCAUCGAAUCUUUGAACGCACCUUGCGCCCUUUGGCCAUUCCAAAGGGCAUGCCUGUUUGAGUAUCAUGAACACCUCAACUCCUCAUGGUCUUCUAUGAUGAGCUUGGACUUUGGGGGCUUGCUGGCCCAUUUGGUCAGCUCCUCUCAAAUGAAUCAGCCUACCAGUGUUUGGUGGCACCACAGGUGUGAUAACAAUCUACGCUUGAGGUUUUCCACCAGGCAACCUUCAGUAAUUGGGGUUCACUGGGGCUCACAAAUGUCUUUCUUCAGUGAGGACAGCUCUUUGAAUGUUUGAUCUCAAAUCAGGUAGGACUACCCGCUGAACUUAAGCAUAUCAAUAAGCGGAGGA
rnacentral:misc_RNA from 1 species